GAUGAACGCUGGCGGCGUGCCUAAUACAUGCAAGUCGAGCGAACGGACGAGAAGCUCGCUUCUCUGAUGUUAGCGGCGGACGGGUGAGUAACACGUGGAUAACCUACCUAUAAGACUGGGAUAACUUCGGGAAGCCGGAGCUAAUACCGGAUAAUAUUUUGAACCGCAUGGUUCAAAAGUGAAAGACGGUCUUGCUGUCACUUAUAGAUGGAUCCGCGCUGCAUUAGCUAGUUGGUAAGGUAACGGCUUACCAAGGCAACGAUGCAUAGCCGACCUGAGAGGGUGAUCGGCCACACUGGAACUGAGACACGGUCCAGACUCCUACGGGAGGCAGCAGUAGGGAAUCUUCCGCAAUGGGCGAAAGCCUGACGGAGCAACGCCGCGUGAGUGAUGAAGGUCUUCGGAUCGUAAAACUCUGUUAUUAGGGAAGAACAUAUGUGUAAGUAACUGUGCACAUCUUGACGGUACCUAAUCAGAAAGCCACGGCUAACUACGUG
rnacentral:rRNA from 1 species